UACGAAGGGGGCUAGCGUUGCUCGGAAUUACUGGGCGUAAAGCGCACGUAGGCGGCUUUCUAAGUCGGGGGUGAAAUCCUGGAGCUCAACUCCAGAACUGCCUUCGAUACUGGAAGCUCGAGUCCGGGAGAGGUGAGUGGGAACUGCGAGUGUAGAGGUGAAAUUCGUAGAUAUUCGCAAGAACACCAGUGGCGAAGGCGGCCUCGACUGGCC
rnacentral:rRNA from 1 species